GACGAACGCUGGCGGCGUGCUUAACACAUGCAAGUCGAACGGAAAGGCCCUGCUUUUGUGGUGUGCUCGAGUGGCGAACGGGUGAGUAACACGUGAGUAACCUGCCCUUGACUUUGGUAUAACUUCAGGAAACUGGGGCUAAUACCGUAUAGGAUCUCCUGCUGCAUGGUGGGGGUUGGAAAUUUUCGGCUGUAGGGGUUGGACUCGCGGCUUAUCAGCUUGUUGGUUGGCUAGUGGCUGACCAAGGCUUUGACGGGUAGGCGGCCUGAGAGGGGGACCGGGCACAAGAGGACUGAGAGACGGAGCAGAGUGGAACAGGAGGCAACAGGGGGGAGUAUGACACAAUGAGCGGGAGCGGGAUGCAAAAACGUCGGGGGCGGGAUGACGGCCUUCGGGUUGUAAAAAGCUUUAGCCUGUGACGAAGCGGGAGUGACGGUAAUGAGUAAAGAAGCACCGGCUAACUACGUG
rnacentral:rRNA from 1 species